AUGGUGUCGGACGCCAGCAAGAAGAAGGCGGCGCAGAAGAAGGCCGCCGCAGCCGCAAAGAGGGGCGCCAAGGUGCCCACCUCCUCCGCAUCAUCUUCCGCCUCUAACAACAAGACGACGGAUAAGGGGGCCCUCGCCGCCGUUCAGCUGUCCGACCGCACCUGCACCGCCGUCCUCACCUCCCACCCGCUCUCACGCGACAUACACAUAGAGUCUCUCACUUUAACAUUCCACGGCCACGAUCUACUUGUAGACACUGAGCUGGAGCUCAACUACGGCAGGCGCUAUGGUUUGCUUGGUCUGAAUGGCUGCGGCAAGUCCUGCCUUCUCAAAGCAAUAGGGUGCAGGGAGCUUCCUAUCCCUGACCACAUGGAUAUAUACCACCUCAGCCAUGAGAUCGAGGCUUCAGACAUGUCUGCGCUUGGAGCCGUCAUUAGCUGUGAUGAAGAAAGGGUCAAGCUGGAAAAGGAAGCUGAAGUUUUGGCUGCUCAAGAUGAUGGCGGUGGUGCAGCUUUGGAGCGCGUAUAUGAGCGGUUAGAAGCAAUUGAUGCAUCCACCGCUGAAAAGCGUGCUGCUGAGAUUUUGUUUGGCUUAGGCUUUAACAAGCAGAUGCAGGCCAAGAAAACCAGGGACUUCUCUGGCGGUUGGCGCAUGAGAAUUGCUUUGGCAAGAGCUCUCUUCAUGAAUCCAACCAUCCUUUUGCUCGAUGAGCCUACCAAUCAUCUUGAUCUUGAGGCAUGCGUGUGGCUGGAAGAAACACUGAAGAAGUUUGACCGUAUACUUGUUGUGAUAUCACACUCCCAAGACUUCCUGAAUGGAGUAUGUACCAACAUCAUCCACAUGCAGAACAGGAAGCUGAAGCUGUACACUGGGAAUUUCGACCAGUAUGUCCAGACCCGAUCUGAGCUGGAGGAGAACCAGAUGAAGCAGUACAGGUGGGAGCAGGACCAGAUUGCGUCGAUGAAGGAGUACAUCGCGCGCUUUGGGCACGGGUCCGCCAAGCUGGCACGGCAGGCCCAGAGCAAGGAGAAGACGCUGGCCAAGAUGGAGCGCGGCGGGCUGACGGAGAAGGUGGCGAGGGACAGGAUCCUGACGUUCCGGUUUGCCAAUGUGGGCAAGCUCCCGCCGCCGGUGCUGCAGUUUGUGGAGGUGACGUUCGGGUACACGCCGGACAACCUGAUCUACAAGAAGCUGGACUUUGGGGUGGACCUUGACUCGCGGGUGGCGCUGGUGGGUCCCAACGGGGCGGGGAAGAGCACGCUGCUGAAGCUGAUGACGGGGGAGCUGGUGCCGCUGGACGGGCUGGUGCGGCGGCACAACCACCUGCGGAUCGCGCAGUUCCACCAGUACCUGGCGGAGAAGCUGGACCUGGACCUGUCUGCGCUGCAGUACAUGCUGAAGGAGUACCCGGGCAACGAGGAGGAGCGGAUGCGGGCGGCCAUCGGCAGGUUCGGGCUGUCGGGGAAGGUGCAGGUGAUGCCGAUGCGGAACCUGUCGGACGGGCAGCGGAGCCGGGUGAUCUUCGCGUGGCUGGCGUGGCGUGAGCAGCAGAUGCUGCUGCUGGAUGAGCCGACCAACCACCUGGACAUCGAGACGAUCGACUCGCUGGCGGAAGCGCUGAAUGAGUGGGACGGCGGGCUGGUGCUGGUGAGCCAUGACUUCAGGCUGAUCAACCAGGUGGCGCAGGAGAUCUGGGUGUGCGAGAAGCAGGCGGUGACGAGGUGGGAGGGCGACAUCAUGGAGUUCAAGGAGCACCUCAAGAGCAAGUCGGGCGGCAUGUCGGACGACUGA
rnacentral:rRNA from 1 species